GAUGAACGCUAGCGGCAGGCUUAACACAUGCAAGUCGAACGGUAACAGGCCUUCGGAUGCUGACGAGUGGCGCACGGGUGCGUAACGCGUAUACAACCUGCCUUGAACAAAGGGAUAGCCCAUGGAAACGUGGAUUAAUACCUUAUAAUAUAUGACUGUGGCAUCACAGACAUAUCAAAGAUUUAUCGGUUCAAGAGGGGUAUGCGUGACAUUAGCUAGUUGGUGAGGUAACGGCCCACCAAGGCUACGAUGUCUAGGGGUUCUGAGAGGAUGAUCCCCCACACUGGUACUGAGACACGGACCAG
rnacentral:rRNA from 1 species